rnacentral:rRNA from 1 species
CCCUUAGAUGUUCUGGGCCGCACACGCGCUACACUGAAGGAGGCAGCGUGUACUCCUGGAUCGAAAGAUUUGGGUAACCCGCGAAUCUCCUUCGUGCUAGGGAUUGAGGUUUGCAAUUAUCCUUCAUGAACGAGGAAUUCCCAGUAAGUGCAAGUCAUAAGCUUGCACUGACUACGUCCCUGCCCUUUGUACACACCGCCCGUCGCUACUACCGAUUGAAUGAUUUAGUGAGGACUUCGGACUGGGACCGAUGCGGCUUUCCGGCUGCGUCGGUAUUCUGGAAAGAUGUCCAAACUGUAUCAUUUAGAGGAAGUAAAAGUCGUAACA